UUGGAUUGGAUCCAGAAAACCACAGUAAUCGCACAAAAUUCAGAUGCGUGAUUAGAUAUAUAUAUAUAUAUGUCGACCGCCAGGGUCUCUCUCGACUCUACAGGGAAGUCCCCCGCUUCCGUCGUCUCUCUCUUCCAAGCUACGGCUUCUUCAUCAUCUUGCUACCCUCUUCUUCGUCUUCGUCGCUCAACGUGGAUUCUUAUCUGCAGCCUCAUCGAUUCCAUUCUCUCUUAUCCCUUUCUCCUCCUUUCACCAUCAAGAAAAACUUGUGUGCGACGCCUCGCUGCGCUUCAGGGAAGAUGUGCCUUCUUCUUCAGUUGCCGAAUCCCUGUCGAAUUAGGGGUUCAGAUUGCUGGUCUCCAGUGGGCGGAUCUUGUCUCUGCUUAUCGGGGCAAAUGCAACCGGGGUUUUCUGUUGCUGAUUAUUAGCUAGGUCUUAAGUGUAGGGUUUGAAGCCGGAGACCUUCAGUAUGGGUUGCUAAGGAUGGAAAUGGAGAGCUCUAGGAGGCCGGCGGACAAAACUAGGGAGCUCGGGCUGAAGAGACCUAGAUUGGCUGAGCAGGCCGAGAGGAAUCGGGCUGGCAGCGCUGAUGGUGCGUUCAUCCCUAGGUUUAGGGUGAGCGACAGGGAGAGAGGCAGUGGCAAGGGAAGGGGUAUUGUUGAUGAGGAGAAGGAAAGGGACGACUUGGGAAGAGGAGCUUACCAUCAGCAGCAGGAGCUCUUGAGUCAGUAUAAGGCGGCGCUCGGAGAGCUAACUUUUAAUUCGAAACCUAUUAUCACGAACCUUACGAUCAUUGCCGGGGAGAACACCCAUGCCGCAAAGGGAAUUUCGGCCACUAUCUGCGGGAACAUUCUAGAGCCAAACUUACAGGUUCCUAGUGAGCAAAAGCUGCCUUCUCUGUAUCUUCUAGACAGUAUUGUAAAGAACAUUGGAGGGGAAUAUGUCAAAUAUUUUGCUGCAAGGCUUCCUGAGGUAUUCUGUAAAGCCUACAGACAGGUUGAUACAACCAUACACCCUAGUAUGCAGCAUCUCUUUAGGACCUGGAAAGGUGUAUUCCCUCCUCCACCACUUCGUGCCAUUGAACAGGACCUUAAUUUUCCUCCUGUAAAUGGUUCAUCUUCUGGAGUCCCUGCAUCUAGGUCUGAUUCUCAAUCUCAGCGCCCAGGACAUGGUAUCCAUGUAAAUCCCAAGUACCUGGAAGCAAGGCAGCGUCUUCAAUCAGGCAGGUCUAGAGGAAUUGAAACUGAAAACAAUGGAAACUUACUGCUGGAGGGAGCAGAAAGGCCUGAACGAACCUCUCUUUCUGAAAGCCCAAAGCCAUGGAUAGAAGCUCCUGCUAAAGUGGCCAGCAUGCAACGUCCUCAAAGGGGAGAACAUUUUGUUGAGUCUUUGUUUGGUAAGAAACCAGACUUGGGAAAUGGAGACUAUGAAUUUAGUUCUGAUUCUGUGAGCCUUCAAGGCAAGGGAAUUACAAGAUCUAGUGAGAGGGACAUUGAGGGGGAUGGAGGCGAUCAGGCUUGGUAUGGAGGAAUAGAAAACAGUGAAACAAGUGCCACAUUUGGUAAAAGGAAUGGCUAUGAUAUGGCAAACUUACCGCCACGGGGUGGAGUCAAUUCCUAUGACAACUACAGAGCUUCAAGAUCUGCCCAAACUUUGCCUCAGCUGAAUUCAGGUUCAACUGUAUCAAGUUUCAGUGGUAGAGGCAUUUCAAGAAAUUGGAAGAACUCUGAGGAAGAAGAAUUCAUGUGGGAUGAUAUGAACUCCAGAACAAUAGAUCUGGGGGGCUCAGAUGCAUUACGGAAAGGUGGCUGGAAUAGCAAUUUGUUUGAAAAGCCUUCAAGUGUACAGAUGCACAAAUGGAUCCAGACAGGGUCUGAAGACUUGGAUUCAAAUUGGAGUCAAAUUGGUAAUUUAUCUCGAUCCAGCAGGCCUAUGGAAGCUGAUGAUGAUCAAUUUCCUUCACACAGGAAUCUUGAAGAGCAGGUUCAACAAUCUUAUAGCCAGAAAGAUGGUGGCUCCAGGGAUAAUCGUGAAGCAUCCGUGGAUUCAUCAUCCGUAGGCCAAGGAGAAGCAGCUUUUGUUCAUCAAACAGGGAGAGUUCCUCGAGAAAAACUGAACCAGUUUCAUACCACAUCUAGGUUACUCAACAUAGAUACUUUAAAUCCUUCAAGCACAGCUUCCAGUGAUGUAGGUCAACUAGAAGGGUGCACUGUUGCUUUAGGUGGUAAUUUACAUUCAAAUGUGGCUCUUCCAUCUAUAGGUAGAGCAGGUGUUGGAGGGCAAGCAGGGCCAGUUGGUCCUUCGAGCUUUGUUGGCCCAUUUGAUGGAAUUCCUGGGCGUCGACAGCAGCAACCUAGGAGGCCUGCAUCACCUUCAAUGCUUACAUCAUUGCACCAGCGCCCACACUCACCAUCUUCAGUAUCUCAUCGUGUUCAUACUGAGGUCCAGCAGCCAUACGGUUUGCCUGAGCAUCACGCGCAAGCAACCUCCUUUCUUCCUGGUAAAAAAUCUUCAAAUGCUGUCAGUCAGUCAGCCACUCCACGACAAGUCCAAGGAAUUAAGGAACUUCCUUAUAUAUCUCAACAUCUCACUCAAGCUAACACGUCAGGCCGCUCACAACUGCACCAGCAAUUGAAGCCUCUUCAGCAUUCUCAUGGUGCAUCUUCUCCAGCACAGCAAGGAAUGCACCUUCCUGUUGUGCAACCAGAACCAUCUCAAACAGCCAGGCAGUCAUGGCAGCCACAAGCACAACCUCAAGGUUUUGGACUCCAAGCUACAGGAUACUCUAGUUCAGGUCUCCUUAAGAAGUCUUGUGGGGGCCUUCCAGCUGAAUCAAGCGCAGACAGGGUAAUGGCUGCUAUUCUGAAGAGUGGCUUGCUACCUGCACAGACUGCUUUGUCAACCGAUGUGCCUAAAAGCCCUACCGGUUUCUCAAGCACGAAUUGUCCUGAGGCUGGGCAAUCACAAUUACAUUUAAAUGUACAGCCCCCUCUGCCUAAUGGACCUCCACCUGUUCAAUUGUCAGCAUCCUCACACACUGCAUCUUUGUCUACAUCUAUUGUAGGUUCAGGUCCACUGGGUGCAUUGCCAGCUGUGUGCUUGCCUCUUUCUGGAACUUCUCAGCCCCCAUUGCCACCUGGUCCUCCGCCUGUGUCUUCACAGAGUUCAAGUUCUGGAAAGGUUGCAAAAAAUCCGCUUUCGAGUUUGUUGAGCUCUUUAGUUGCUAAAGGUUUGAUAUCCACAUCAGCACCAGAGUUAUCAAAGCCUACUCCAGUUCAGGUGCCAAAUCAGAUUGAAGACCAGAGUGAUGGCCGUGCUGCCACCUCAAAUUUGGCUUCAACAGUUUCUCCUUUUACUCCUCCAGAUGGUGAGCUCUCUGUUUCUGAGUCUAGUUCAAUGCCUUCUGGUCGUUCAAAUGCAUCAACUGAAAUCAAGGGCAGAGUUGGAAUUGAGUUUAAGCCGGCAAUCAUCCGGAGGUUUCACUUGUCUGUCAUCAAUGGUCUAUUUGAUGAACUUCCACAUCAAUGCAGUAUGUGUGGCCUUCGAUUCAAAUUUGAACACAAUCUUAGCAAACACCUUAACUGGCAUGCUUCAAGUAAGCUUAAACUUGAGAAAGGUAAGAGAAUAUCAAGAAUGUGGUACCUUAGUUGGAGGGACUGGGUUGAGGGGGCUUCUGGUCCAUCCUCUGUCCCAAUCCAUAGCCCAGAAAAGGAAAUGGUGCUGCUUGAACCAAUGGUUCCUGCUGAUGAAAGCCAAAGUAUAUGUAUAUCAUGUGGGGAGCCGUUUGAAGAUUUUUAUUGUCACAAGAGGGACGAGUGGAUGUUUAAAGGGGCAAUAUAUAUGACUCUCCCUACUGAUGGUUCUGCUGGCAAGAACUUACAGAAGUUAAUUGUGCAUGCCAACUGCAUCACAGAAAGCACCAUUGACGGUUCUGCUGGCAAGAACUUACAGAAGUUAAUUGUGCAUGCCAACUGCAUCACAGAAAGCACCAUUGACAGCUUAAAGGCGCCUCAGACUAGUCAUAUGGACCAGGCAAGUAGAUGACAUGUAUACAUGAAAAAUUCCAGGUUAUUCUUUCUAUGGCAGGUGCAAAUGGGGAAACAGGGCCCAGAAUAUUCUCCUUUGCAAGAAGUUGCUACUGCAGACUUAUUUCAGUUUGACACUAAUGAAGUACAGUGUGGAAUAAGGCUUUUCGCGUUGUACAAGCAUAGGACCAACAACUCUCGGAAGCACUUCUUCAGCAUAUCCAAGCUCGGACUCCAAGUGGAUUAUCAUGGGAAUUGAAGGAUUAAUUGCAGAGGUAUCCACCCAACCUCUUGCAGUGCAGUUAGUCAGCACUGGAGGUGAUGCUACUGAGUUCGUUCUUCUUGGAGCGCUGUCAGAGACAGUCCAGGUCAAACUUGUCCGUUCUUGGUGUUCGUUUUGAUGCUUACGCAACCAGCUGAUCAUGUCGUCCAAUUUUUUUUGUUUCUUCCCUAACCUUUAAUAGGUGUUUACGGACGCAAGUGCGAGUCAUCAUGGAUACAUCCGGAGCCGGAACUUUUAGUGGCAACCAUGUCAUGUGCGACUGAUGACAUUCAGUGACGCAGUGGGUGAACGACUAAACACUCGACCACCUUGUAGCUGCAAAAGCCUGAGAAAGGAAAAGAAAACGCUAGACAAACUAACGAAGCGAAACCAGUGUUGGUGAAAGAGAGAGGAGGACGGUGACAAGAACGAGAAUUAGAGAGGAAAUACCGUCUACCCAGCACUGGCCACCCUGCUGAUCACUAGAUCGAUGCACCACCCGUUCAUCUCCUACCUCCCUCCGUUAAUUGCUUGCUGGAUCGCGUGGUGUAAUACCAUCCUGUUGACGGAAGAGUUCGCCGGCUUGCUUACAAAGGGUACUGGAUAUCAAUUCAUGGAUGCAGCCGUUCGUGGACACCAAGGCCCUUGGAACAUAGAAUCCAUAAACUUGGAAAACAAAGGAAGCUAGGGCAACUUAUCUAGCUAUUUCAUCGGCCAUCAUAUACCGCGCCGGAUGGAACUGCUUGGCGGCUCCUAUAUAUUAGGAUGCGUACUAGAUCUUGUUGUAUACAAUACAGUUUUUAAUUGUAUGACAAGUAUACUCUGGAUGGUGCCUUGUCGUCGCCGGCCGGUAUCAACGAAAUUUCCUCCGUUUUCUCCCAGAAGAAGGAAAAGAAGAAAGAGAAAUGAAUAAAAAGAGGGGCAGUCAAACAUGGGGACCGCGUGUGGGGGCGCUCUCAGAAAGAACGUAAUGGGGUCUUUUUCUCCCGAUGUACAGAGUAAAGCAACACUAUAAACUAAAGAUGGACAUGGCGGAAGGAAGGUACAGGGAAACAGCGAUUGACCAUGGCGACGCUCACCUCCCCAGCAGCCACAAACCCCACAGGAUCGGGUCGGUCUCAUCAGGUCGCCCGUGUCAGUGUGUGCUGUAGAAGGUUGAAUUUUCAAAAGGGACAAUGUGGCGUCACGUCCCACCAACCACUACAACUACACCUUUCAUUUGGAUCUCUCCAGCUUCCACACCCAACCCCACGGGUCUCACCAACCUCUGUGUAUGCAUUCGGAAGACCCUCCGACACCAACCCCACCCCCCUUACCAACA